CCUACGGGUGGCAGCAGUGGGGAAUAUUGCACAAUGGGCGCAAGCCUGAUGCAGCCAUGCCGCGUGUGUGAAGAAGGCCUUCGGGUUGUAAAGCACUUUCAGCGGGGAGGAAGGCGUUAAGGUUAAUAACCUUGGCGAUUGACGUUACCCGCAGAAGAAGCACCGGCUAACUCCGUGCCAGCAGCCGCGGUAAUACGGAGGGUGCAAGCGUUAAUCGGAAUUACUGGGCGUAAAGCGCACGCAGGCGGUCUGUCAAGUCGGAUGUGAAAUCCCCGGGCUCAACCUGGGAACUGCAUUCGAAACUGGCAGGCUAGAGUCUUGUAGAGGGGGGUGGAAUUCCAGGUGUAGCGGUGAAAUGCGUAGAGAUCUGGAGGAAUACCGGUGGCGAAGGCGGCCCCCUGGACAAAGACUGACGCUCAGGUGCGAAAGCGUGGGGAGCAAACAGGAUUAGAUACCCCGGUAGUC
rnacentral:rRNA from 1 species